rnacentral:rRNA from 1 species
UGGGGAAUUUUGGACAAUGGGCGCAAGCCUGAUCCAGCCAUGCCGCGUGCGGGAAGAAGGCCUUCGGGUUGUAAACCGCUUUUGUCAGGGAAGAAAAGACGCCUUUUAAUAAAGGGUGCUGAUGACGGUACCUGAAGAAUAAGCACCGGCUAACUACGUGCCAGCAGCCGCGGUAAUACGUAGGGUGCAAGCGUUAAUCGGAAUUACUGGGCGUAAAGCGUGCGCAGGCGGUUAUGCAAGACAGAUGUGAAAUCCCCGGGCUCAACCUGGGAACUGCAUUUGUGACUGCAUGGCUAGAGUACGGUAGAGGGGGAUGGAAUUCCGCGUGUAGCAGUGAAAUGCGUAGAUAUGCGGAGGAACACCGAUGGCGAAGGCAAUCCCCUGGACCUGUACUGACGCUCAUGCACGAAAGCGUGGGGAGCAAACAGGAUUAGAUACCCGCGUAGUCC